rnacentral:RNase_P_RNA from 1 species
GUAAGUCGGCUAGUUGACUUCGGGAUCUGAUGUUAAAUCAUCGAAUGUCGGAAUAAAUCGAUUUUGAUUCUGAGGAAGGUCCGCCCAUCAUGAAACAUCGUUUGCGAAAGCAAAUUGUCGUGAGGCAAAGCUCUGGUACAGAAACGCCACAGCCGUUUUUGAGUUAUGAAACUUGCGUUGAACUGCGAGAAAACGGAUUUGAUGAAACGAGCACCUCGAUAGAUGCAAGGUAAAAUACCGCUUAGUUGAAUGUCAACACGUUCCGUCUGAAUACGGGGAACGACAGAAGGUGGCCUACUGCCGACUUAC